AUUGAACGCUGGCGGCAGGCCUAACACAUGCAAGUCGAGCGGAUGAAGGGAGCUUGCUCCUGGAUUCAGCGGCGGACGGGUGAGUAAUGCCUAGGAAUCUGCCUGGUAGCGGGGGAUAACGUCCGGAAACGGGCGCUAAUACCGCAUACGUCCUGAGGGAGAAAGUGGGGGAUCUUCGGACCUCACGCUAUCAGAUGAGCCUAGGUCGGAUUAGCUAGUUGGUGGGGUAAAGGCCUACCAAGGCGACGAUCCGUAACUGGUCUGAGAGGAUGAUCAGUCACACUGGAACUGAGACACGGUCCAGACUCCUACGGGAGGCAGCAGUGGGGAAUAUUGGACAAUGGGCGAAAGCCUGAUCCAGCCAUGCCGCGUGUGUGAAGAAGGUCUUCGGGUUGUAAAGCACUUUAAGUUGGGAGGAAGGGCAGUAAGUUAAUACCUUGCUGUUUUGACGUUACCAACAGAAUAAGCACCGGCUAACUUCGUG
rnacentral:rRNA from 1 species